rfam:Gossypium raimondii Chr03_contig_12, whole genome shotgun sequence.
UAUUAAAAAUUUCAUCUAUUUUUAUUGUUAAAAAUUAAUGUAACUAAUAGAAUAGCCAAAUAGUUACACUUGACAUGUUACGUGUACCUCAUGCUGACGUAUAAGUACUAAUUUUUAACAAUAAAAAUGAAUGAAAUUUUUAACA